ACGUGAUAAACCGAAACAGCCAAUCACAGAAGGAUUAGUCUCCUAAAGAUGUGAGCCCUGUAAUGUUAACCUAUAUUAGGUUGUGCUCAACACGAACUGGGCAUCUUCCAGAAAGACCAAUCGCUGAACAAGCAAGUUCAACAGAAAAUGAAACAGCUUAUUGUAUUGCUCAUUGUUGCUGUUCUGAUAGCCAAUUCCCUUGCUAUCCCGAGGGAUUACAUUGAAGGCNUUCUCGCCAAGAGAAACCUUGCUUCUGGCAUUUCGUGCAUUGGUGAGUGCAAGGUUAAAGAUAGCCAUGGCAGAUGUGUGACCGAUGCAAAGUGCCUAAUUGACAAGAAUCGCGGAAAGAGAAACCUUGUUUCUGGCAUUUCGUGCAUUGGUGAGUGCAAGGUUAAAGAUAGCCAUGGCAGAUGUGUGACCGAUGCAAAGUGCCUAAUUAACAAGAAUCGCGGAUAAGCUUGUAAUUGAUAUAAAGGCUUACCUUCCCCUCAUUAGUAAAGAGUUUCGCUCUCCCAGUUAAACUGGAAUGGAAUAAAACUGAUGCACAUUAAA
rnacentral:misc_RNA from 1 species